rnacentral:rRNA from 1 species
AGAGUUUGAUCAUGGCUCAGAACGAACGCUGGCGGCGUGGAUAAGACAUGCAAGUCGAGCGCUGAUUACAGGGUAGCAAUAUUCUGUGGUCGGAGCGGCGCAAGGGUGCGUAACACGUGGGUAAUCUGCCAUGAAGUUUGGGAUAACUCGCUGAAAGGCGAGCUAAUACCGGAUGUGAAAAUCGGGGGGCAUCUUCUGAUUUUCAAAGCUGGGGACCGUAAGGCCUGGCGCUUCAUGAUGAGCCCGCAGCCUAUCAGCUAGUUGGUGAGGUAACGGCUCACCAAGGCUAAGACGGGUAGCUGGUCUGAGAGGACGACCAGCCACACUGGAACUGAGACACGGUCCAGACACCUACGGGUGGCAGCAGUCGAGAAUUUUUCACAAUGGGCGCAAGCCUGAUGGAGCGACGCCGCGUGGGGGAUGAAUGGCUUCGGCCCGUAAACCCCUGUCAUUUGCGAUCAAACCUUAUUAUUUAAAAGAUGAUAAGCUGAUAGUAGCGAAAGAGGAAGGGACGGCUAACUCUGUGCCAGCAGCCGCGGUAAUACAGAGGUCCCAAGCGUUGUUCGGAUUCACUGGGCGUAAAGGGUGCGUAGGUGGUGAGGUAAGUCGGAUGUGAAAUCUCCGAGCUCAACUCGGAAAUGGCAUUGGAAACUACCUUGCUCGAGGGUUGGAGGGGGGACUGGAAUUCUCGGUGUAGCAGUGAAAUGCGUAGAUAUCGAGAGGAACACCAGUGGCGAAGGCGAGUCCCUGGACAACUCCUGACACUGAGGCACGAAAGCUAGGGGAGCAAACAGGAUUAGAUACCCUAGUAGUCC